AGCCGGUAGCAACGGAAGGGGCUUCCCCUAAUGCCGCCAUUGUUGUUAUUGUUUACGCUGCGUGCCUACGGACAGACAGUGACCGUUUUUGACGCAUUUCUCUCAUCGCACUGAAUUCUCAAUGCAUCAAUUCGUCUGUACAGAUGAGGACCACCACCAUGAGAACUGCCCUAAAGGAGAGACUCCUGGUGUUUUUUUCAAAGGCUGAAGCAAGGGGGUUGCCACCAGGUAGUCAUGUCGGGACUCCACUUUGCCAGCUGGUCGCUGAUCACGUGCGACCAAUCUUCACGCGUCUGUCAUCCAAUGACCUACUGGGCCGCUGCAUUCUACAGCACCCAAAACGCUAACGAAAGUGAGCUUGCAGUUGCAGUCAUGGGCUUGCUGCCCAAUGCACCAGUUUGUUCAUCGCAAUCGCCUGUCUAUUGCUGUUGCUAUUGGUGAAUCUACUUCGGUGCGAGCUCAUCGCGUGACUUUCUCACAACCCUCAACCUGCCUGUCGGUCGAGAAACAAGCGUCACGGGGAAAAGCGGGACCACACAAGAACUGUGAAAGCACAGGUAGCAGCCACAGAGAAAGCCAAGAGAUACAGGCUAAUCAGGGCAGAGACAAGAGCAGAGAAUGAUAGAAGCUUUUAUAUAUAUAUGGAGAAUUUUAUGUCUCUGGAGGUGGAGACUAGUAUGUUUAGGUAGUGUUUAAUUUUUUUAAAAGAAGGGGUACAAUGAGAAUUUUGGGCUAUAAAAAGUAAAACAUGACUGUUACAUUGUUCUUUUUGAGUGGAGAAUGUUCAGAGUACUUCCUGUUUCAAUGUUUGUAAGGUUUUUUACCUUAGAAAUGUGUCUGGGUCUUCUGUUGGCCAAUAAAAAUCUCAUUUUGCGUUUUUCUCAAAAUACCUUUUUUGACAAAUUUGUCUCACUUUUUGUACCAGAUCUCAGAAAGUUCUUGUCAGAACUUGUUUAAAUUUGCACACAAUGUUCUUUGCAUGUAUGCCUACCACCUAACAGAGAGAUUUUUGACUUUUCUGUUUUAGUUAAUAUUUUUUUAAUGUUUGGCCUUUGAUUACCUGAACAUUUCGGAGAUCUGAAUUUGACCCCACCCCUAUGACAGAGUAUCUGAAAGUCAAUGGACAGAAGUCAAAUCUGGCAUUGUUAGGUGGUAGAGAAUGAUCAUUUCUAUUACCAUGCCAAGUAUGAAGACUCUAUCUUGAGUGGUUUUUAAGAUCUCAAGAAAAUAAAAAUGUCAUUAAAA